rnacentral:rRNA from 1 species
UACGUAGGGGGCAAGCGUUGUCCGGAAUCAUUGGGCGUAAAGCGCGUGUAGGCGGCUCGAUAAGUCUGCUGUGAAAGUCCAGGGCUCAACCCUGGAAUGCCGGUGGAAACUGUCGAGCUAGAGUCCGGAAGAGGCGAGUGGAAUUCCUGGUGUAGCGGUGAAAUGCGCAGAUAUCAGGAGGAACACCAAUGGCGAAGGCAGCUCGCUGGGACGUGACUGACGCUGAGACGCGAAAGCGUGGGGAGCAAACAGG